UUGUAGGCUGCAACUCGCCUACAUGAAGCCGGAAUCGCUAGUAAUCGUGGAUCAGCAUGCCACGGUGAAUACGUUCCCGGGCCUUGUACACACCGCCCGUCACACCACGAGAGUUUGUAACACCCGAAGUCGGUAGGGUAACCUUUAUGGAGCCAGCCGCCGAAGGUGGGACAGAUAAUUGGGGUGAAGUCGUAACAAGGUAGCCGUAUCGGAAGGUGCGGCUGGAUCACCUCCUUU
rnacentral:rRNA from 1 species